rnacentral:rRNA from 1 species
AUUGAACGCUAGCGGGAUGCUUUACACAUGCAAGUCGAACGAGUGGCGGACGGGUGAGUAAUAUAUCGGAACGUGCCCAGUAGCGGGGGAUAACUACUCGAAAGAGUGGCUAAUACCGCAUACCAUUCGAGCGGCCGAUAUCGGAUUAGCUUGUUGGUGGGGUAAAGGCUCACCAAGGCGACGAGCCGUAGCUGGUUUGAGAGGACGACCAGCCACACUGGGACGGAGACACGGUCCAGACUCCUACGGGAGGCAGCAGUGGGGAAUGUUGGACAAUGGGGGCAACCCUGAUCCAGCCAUCCCGCGUGUAUGAGAAGGCCUUCGGGUUGUAAAGUACUUUUAGCAGAGAAGCGGUAUCUGCAGAAGAAGCACCGGCUAACUCCGUGCCAGCAGCCGCGGUAAUAC